rnacentral:rRNA from 1 species
UACGUAGGGGGCAAGCGUUGUCCGGAGUUACUGGGCGUAAAGCGCCCGCAGGCGGUCGUUUCAGUUCGCGGUGACAGCGGUCGGCUUAACCGACCGAGGACCGAGAAGACGUGACGACUUGAGGGCCAGAGAGGGACAUGGAACUCCGGGUGGAGUGGUGAAAUGCGUAGAGAUCCGGAAGAACACCAAAGGCGAAGGCAGUGUCCUGGUUGGUACCUGACGCUCGGGGGCGAAAGCGAGGGGAGCGAACGGG